UGCCAGUCCUUGGAGGAGUUUCCAGGCUGUGAUAAGACCUUAUUUGUGUUUUUGACAGAAUUUGGACAGGAGAAGUCACAUCAGGGAGACCAGAGACUAGAGUAUUGCAUCAUAGAGGAAAGACACUGAUGACAUGAACUCAGGGGAGCAGUGGAACUGGAGGCCUGGGAGCUUGGGACGUGUUCUCUGGGUGAAGUUGGCCGGCCAGCUGAUGACCUACACCAGUGGCAUUCACUCCUCAUGUGUCCCCCAGGAAUUCAUAGUGUGUGUCAUCAGCUGGAAAACAAAACAAGGAACUUUGUCUUUUUUAAUGGCAUAGUUCUGUAUUACCUUGGUGACUCUAAACUCUGUGCUUUAUUCAAUUUUUUUAAUUGUUGGAGACAAGGAGAAUCAUAAUCUCAACCUGCAUUUACAUAGUGCUGGAAGAAAAGACCGACC
rnacentral:lncRNA from 1 species